UACGUAGGGUGCAAGCGUUAUUCGGAAUCACUGGGCGUAAAGGGCGCGUAGGCGGCUUACAUAGUUAGGCGUGAAAUUCCUGGGCUCAACCUGGGGACUGCGUCUAAUACAUGUAGGCUUGAGUGUGAAAGAGGGUCGUGGAAUUUCCAGUGUAGAGGUGAAAUUCGUAGAUAUUGGAAAGAACACCGGUGGCGAAGGCGGCGACCUGGUUCAUUACUGACGCUGAGGCGCGAAAGCGUGGGGAGCAAACAGG
rnacentral:rRNA from 1 species